GAUGAAGAACGUAGCGAAAUGCGAUACGUAAUGUGAAUUGCAGAAUUCAGUGAAUCAUCGAAUCUUUGAACGCAUAUUGCGCUCUCUGGUAUUCCGGAGAGCAUGCUUGUUUGAGUAUCAGUAAACACCUCAACUCCCUUUUCUUUUUUGAAAUGGGAGCUGGACUUGAGUGAUCCCAACACUUUUCUCACUGGAAAGUGGCGGGUCACUUGAAAUGCAGGUGCAGCUGGACUUUUCUCUGAGCUAUAAGCAUAUCUAUGUAGUCUGCCUAAAAAACAGAUUAUUACCUUUGCUGCAGCUAACAUAAAGGAGAUGAGUUCUUGUGCUGACUGAUGCAGGAUUCACAGAGACAGCUUUGCGGCUGACUUUGUAAACUCGAUCUCAAAUCAAGUAAGACUACCCGCUGAACUUAAGCAUAUCAAUAAGCGGAGGA
rnacentral:misc_RNA from 1 species